UAGAUUGAAGCCCGCUGGGUUGGGGGUUUAGCUGUUAAUUAAAAUUUUACGGGAUCGAGGCCCGUCAGUCUAG
rnacentral:tRNA from 1 species